rnacentral:tRNA from 1 species
GAGAUAUUAGUAAAAUUUAAAUUACAUCACCUUGUCAAGGUGAAGUUGCAGGUUAGACCCCUGUAUAUCUCU